rnacentral:rRNA from 1 species
UACGAAGGGGGCUAGCGUUACUCGGAAUCACUGGGCGUAAAGCGCACGUAGGCGGAUCUUUAAGUCAGGGGUGAAAUCCUGGAGCUCAACUCCAGAACUGCCUUUGAUACUGGUAGUCUCGAGUCCGGAAGAGGUGAGUGGAAUUCCGAGUGUAGAGGUGAAAUUCGUAGAUAUUCGGAGGAACACCAGUGGCGAAGGCGGCUCACUGGUCCGGUACUGACGCUGAGGUGCGAAAGCGUGGGGAGCAAACAGG